rnacentral:rRNA from 1 species
UAGGGAAUAUUGCAAAAUGGGCGAAAGCCCGAUGCAGCAACGCCGCGUGGGCGAUGAAGGCCUUCGGGUCGUAAAGCCCUUUUUGAGGGGAUGAGGAAGGACAGUACCCUCAGAAUAAGCCUCGGCUAACUACGUGCCAGCAGCCGCGGUAAAACGUAGGAGGCGAGCGUUAUCCGGAUUUACUGGGCGUAAAGCGCGUGCAGGCGGAUUGGAGAGUUGGAUGUGAAAGCUCCCGGCUUAACUGGGAGAGGUCGUUCAAUACUUCCAGUCUUGAGUGCAGUAGAGGGAAGUGGAAUUCCGGGUGUAGUGGUGAAAUGCGUAGAUAUCCGGAGGAACACCAGUGGCGAAGGCGGCCUCCUGGCCCAUUUCUGACGCUCAGACGCGAAAGCUAGGGUAGCAAACG